rfam:Culex pipiens quinquefasciatus supercont3.1417 genomic scaffold, whole genome shotgun sequence.
AAAAUGGCGCUUUUCAGCGCCAACGAAAAGUUCACGAAAGAGUUAUU